ACCUGCAGUCGAGCGGCAGCGGGAAAGUAGCUUGCUACUUUUGCCGGCGAGCGGCGGACGGGUGAGUAAUGCCUGGGGAUCUGCCCAGUCGAGGGGGAUAACUACUGGAAACGGUAGCUAAUACCGCAUACGCCCUACGGGGGAAAGCAGGGGACCUUCGGGCCUUGCGCGAUUGGAUGAACCCAGGUGGGAUUAGCUAGUUGGUGAGGUAAUGGCUCACCAAGGCGACGAUCCCUAGCUGGUCUGAGAGGAUGAUCAGCCACACUGGAACUGAGACACGGUCCAGACUCCUACGGGAGGCAGCAGUGGGGAAUAUUGCACAAUGGGGGAAACCCUGAUGCAGCCAUGCCGCGUGUGUGAAGAAGGCCUUCGGGUUGUAAAGCACUUUCAGCGAGGAGGA
rnacentral:rRNA from 2 species